rnacentral:rRNA from 1 species
ACUUGAAUUGAAGAGUUUGAUCAUGGCUCAGAUUGAACGCUGGCGGCAGGCUUAACACAUGCAAGUCGAACGGUAGCAGGAGAAAGCUUGCUUUCUUGCUGACGAGUGGCGGACGGGUGAGUAAUGCUUGGGAAUCUGGCUUAUGGAGGGGGAUAACGACGGGAAACUGUCGCUAAUACCGCGUAGAAUCGGAAGAUGAAAGUGCGGGACUGUAAGGCCGCAUGCCAUAGGAU